rnacentral:rRNA from 1 species
CCCUUAGAUGUUCUGGGCCGCACGCGCGCUACACUGACGAUGGCAACGAGUUUUUCCUUCGCCGAAAGGUGUGGGUAAUCUUUUGAAACAUCGUCGUGCUGGGGAUAGAUCAUUGCAAUUUUUGAUCUUGAACGAGGAAUUCCUAGUAAGCGCGAGUCAUCAGCUCGCGUUGAUUACGUCCCUGCCCUUUGUACACACCGCCCGUCGCUCCUACCGAUUGAGUGCUCAGGUGAAUAAUUCGGACUGCAGCAAUGUUUGGAUCCCGAACGUUGCAGCGGAAAGUUUAGUGAACCUUAUCACUUAGAGGAAGGAGAAGUCGUAACA